AGCGAACGCUGGCGGCAGGCUUAACACAUGCAAGUCGAACGGGCAUCUUCGGAUGUCAGUGGCAGACGGGUGAGUAACACGUGGGAACGUACCCUUCGGUUCGGAAUAACUCAGGGUAACUUGAGCUAAUACCGGAUACGCCCUUUUGGGGAAAGGUUUACUGCCGAAGGAUCGGCUCGCGACUGAUUAGCUUGUUGGUGGGGUAACGGCCUACCACGGCGACGAUCAGUAGCUGGUCUGAGAGGAUAAUCAGCCACACUGGGACUGAGACACGGCCCAGACACCUACGGGAGGCAGCAGUGGGGAAUAUUGGACAAUGGGCGCAAGCCUGAUACAGCCAUGGCGCGUGAGUGAUGAAGGCCUUAGGGUUGUAAAGCUCUUUUGUCCGGGACGAUAAUGACGGUAACGGAAGAAUAAGCCCCGGCUAACUUCGUGC
rnacentral:rRNA from 1 species